GAUGAAGAACGCAGCGAAAUGCGAUAAGUAAUGUGAAUUGCAGAAUUCAGUGAAUCAUCGAAUCUUUGAACGCACCUUGCGCUCCUUGGUAUUCCGAGGAGCAUGCCUGUUUGAGUGUCAUGAAACCCUCAAACCCAAGUUUUGGAUUUCGAUCCAUGCUUGAGUUUGGAUUUGGAUGUUUGCCGGUGAUGAACCGACUCAUCUUACAAGUAUUAGCUUGGAUCUGUCUAUAUGACUGGUUUGACUUGGCAUAAUAAGUAUUUUGCUGAGGACAUCUUCGGAUGGCCAGGACCUAGACUACUGUCUGCUAACUAAACCAUCACUUUAAGUGCAUCUUUGGAUGUUACUCAUUGUGUAACUUUGACAUCUGGCCUCAAAUCAAGUAGGACUACCCGCUGAACUUAAGCAUAUCAAUAAGCGGAGGA
rnacentral:misc_RNA from 1 species